GAUGAGAAUGUUCGCGAUCGAGGUCUCGAUCCAACCGACAUCGAGCUGCCCGAGCUCAUCAACCGAGGACUUCUCGGCGACCUGAACAGGCAAGCAACGGGCAAAUAGUCUGAAACACCGACACAACGGUGUCGCUGAGCAUUGUCGUCCGCCAGUGGGAUGGGACCACCGGUUCGCCAGUGGGAUGGGACCGGGUUCGGGGUCUGUCAGGUCCGGCGUCGGGAUUGUCGCGUCUGGGUGGUUGGGGUGUCAACUGGCUGGU
rnacentral:rRNA from 1 species